UGGGGAAUUUUGGACAAUGGGCGAAAGCCUGAUCCAGCAAUGCCGCGUGUGUGAAGAAGGCCUUCGGGUUGUAAAGCACUUUUGUCCGGAAAGAAAUCCUUGGCUCUAAUACAGUCGGGGGAUGACGGUACCGGAAGAAUAAGCACCGGCUAACUACGUGCCAGCAGCCGCGGUAAUACGUAGGGUGCAAGCGUUAAUCGGAAUUACUGGGCGUAAAGCGUGCGCAGGCGGUUUGCUAAGACCGAUGUGAAAUCCCCGGGCUCAACCUGGGAACUGCAUUGGUGACUGGCAGGCUAGAGUAUGGCAGAGGGGGGUAGAAUUCCACGUGUAGCAGUGAAAUGCGUAGAGAUGUGGAGGAAUACCGAUGGCGAAGGCAGCCCCCUGGGCCAAUACUGACGCUCAUGCACGAAAGCGUGGGGAGCAAAACAGGAUUAGAUACCCUGGUAGUCCACGCCCUAAAACGAUGUCAACUAGUUGUUGGGGAUUCAUUUCCUUAGUAACGUAGCUAACGCGUGAAGUUGACCGCCUGGGGAGUACGGUCGCAAAGAUUAAAAACUUCAAAUGAAUUGACGGGGUCAUAGCUGUUUCCU
rnacentral:rRNA from 1 species